GUGGUUUGCAGCUCCCACGCGGCCCCAGCGAGCGAACAGCGCUGUCCUCCUGCUGGCCCAUUUCAGGGCAGUGGGCACCAAGCAGCAUGCCUGGCUCCCUGGGGCUUGCCGUGGCCUCUCUCCUCCCCUGUGUGCUGUGGGCCCUUCGAUUGGAUCAGGAACCAGCUUUUAUCCUCAAGCYGCCACAGCAGAGCAGCACUGCUGAAUUUACUUGCAAAGUGACCGGCGGGUCGAGCUCCACCUAUGUCCACUGGCAUCUGCAAACUGGUGGUGCACAAAGUGGGAAGUGUAGACGGCGGCCGCUAUUACUGUGCAGUGUGGGAGUUUGCACGGCUCUGCGGGCUGCCGCAGCUCUUGCACAAAAAGCACAGAUGACAGCAGG
rnacentral:lncRNA from 1 species